GCCCCAUAAACUCUCGCUUGUAUUGUCAUGGAUAUAAAAUAGCAGCUGCUAAGCCUACCAUACACGAGAUUAGAGAAGGAAUUAUGGAGAGCAAUGUUAAAAGCGGGUCGUCAGCUUCCUCAGGAGAUCCGAACCCGUGCCCCAUCUGUCUCGGACCCAUGGUUCAAGACUCCUAUCUUGAUAAAUGCUACCAUAAGUUUUGUUAUAACUGUAUUAUACAAUGGACUAAAGUGGUUGCUAGCAAGCAUUCGAGCCUGCUUUCUUCGGUAAAGUGUCCUUUAUGCAAGACUGAGAACUUUUCAAUCAUCUA